AGUACAGACAGAUGCCACAACCCAGCUGCCAACAGGAAUCCAGACCCUGGCUAACCAUCACCCAGCUUCCAUCUACUGUAUUCAGGGGCAGACCUGCCUGACUUGGAUAUCAGCUUCUCCAUGAAAAUAUGCAGUGCCUAAAAUUUACACUGAUCAAUUUGUUCACGAGAAAGGACAUUUCUAAAAGAGCGAGGAGACUGACCCCAGAACCAAGAGGAGUACUGGAGAGCAGAAGAUGAAGAAAAACCUUUAAACAGCAGAGCAGUGAAGUGGAGGGAGAGGCGGCCCCUCUCCUUUGCCAGAGACUCCCACUCCCAGAUGCAGGCCCGAGCGAUCCCUCAUAAUUUAAGCUGACACCCCUCAGCGGAGAUGAAAGGAACACCACUCGCUGCUCUCCAACAACAAAUGUCAGCAUCCCUGGAGGCCAUUUAGACACAAACGCAGCAUAAAUCUGACUCCUAGUGGGGAAGUCCAGAGAUUAAGUCUCCAUGCACAGCCUACCAGAGUGAAAUGAAUUUGCUUGGCACAAAGUUUGAA
rnacentral:antisense_RNA from 1 species